rnacentral:rRNA from 1 species
UACCAGCACCCCGAGUGGUCGGGACGUUUAUUGGGCCUAAAGCAUCCGUAGCCGGUUCUACAAGUCUUCCGUUAAAUCCAGCUGCUUAACAGAUGGGCUGCGGAAGAUACUAUGGAGCUAGGAGGCGGGAGAGGCAAGCGGUACUCGAUGGGUAGGGGUAAAAUCCGUUGCUCCAUUGAAGACCACCAGUGGCGAAGGCGGCUUGCCAGAACGCGCUCGACGGUGAGGGAUGAAAGCUGGGGGAGCAAACCGG